GGAUCUAUACAUGAAACAGUAUGCAUCAAUUUAUCGAGUCAUUACAAAGAUGAAGCUUCCAUUGGACAUUGAAAAUGGGACAACCAGUUUGAUAAUUCGAGGUUAGCUGAUACACUGUCUGAAAAUUGUUAAUUUGUUAUUGAAACAACCGAUAUCUUAUUGGUUUUCAACGGAUUAGUACAUUUGAAAACUAAUAUUCUAUAGGUCAAACUGUUAAGCAAAAUUAUCCACCCGACAAGCAGCCCUAGAGCUCCCCUGCCAAAAAGUGUCAAUUUUAGUGCGAGUUUCGGACAGUGAAGUAGAGUGGGAUGAAGGCGGCAUGUGGUGAAUGCGCUCAGAAGUAAUUUUCACAGCUCAGAUUUCGGUACAUGAGUGACAAAAUUUAGUCACUAAUUAACUAGUCUUUUACAAUUUAUGUUGGCCC
rnacentral:lncRNA from 1 species